UACGGAGGGUGCGAGCGUUGUUCGGAAUCACUGGGCGUAAAGGGCGUGUAGGCGGUCCGCUAAGUCUGAUGUGAAAGCCCGGGGCUCACCCCCGGAAGUGCAUUGGAAACUGGCGGACUCGAGUCCCGGAGAGGAGAGUGGAAUUCCUGGUGUAGCGGUGAAAUGCGUAGAUAUCAGGAGGAACACCGGUGGCGAAGGCGGCUCUCUGGACGGUGACUGACGCUGAGACGCAAAAGCGUGGGGAGCAAACAGG
rnacentral:rRNA from 1 species